CACCGCGGUUAGACGAGAGGCCCCAGUUGAUAGUGCCACGGCGUAAAGGGUGGUUAAGGAAAAUAACUAAAUAAAGCUGAACAGCCCCUCGGCCGUCAUACGCUUCUAGGUGCUAGAAAACCAAAGUACGAAAGUAGCUUUAAUAACCCCCACCUGAACCCACGAAAGCUGAGAAA
rnacentral:rRNA from 1 species